GCGUCUCUUGUCGCCGGGCUCCGGGGUGGCAUCAGCUUAGGCCACAGUGGCUGGGACCACAGCGAGCGCCGGCGCCGAGCAGAGACGGGCGGGCCGUGCACAGCUGCAGCCGGAGGCAGUGGGAGCUGGGCUUUGCUGGCAGAAGCGUGGAGCAGUAAGAACUCUGAUGCCGUUGAUCCCUGGUACCGGCCUGAUGUCACCCUUGCUCACAGGCGGCGGGUGCAGGAUGGGCUUUGGGGCCCGGGUCAGGCACACGGGCAGCCCGGCAGCGCACAUCAGAAUGCCAGUCAUGCCUGCGAG